AGAAUCAACGCUGGCGGCGUGCCUAACACAUGCAAGUCGAACGAGAAAGUGGAGCAAUCCAUGAGUAAAGUGGCGCACGGGUGAGUAACACGUGACUAACCUACCCUUGAGUGGGGGAUAACCUCGGGAAACCGGGCUAAUACCGCAUAACAUCGAGAGAUCAAAGGAGCAAUUCGCUUAAGGAGGGGUCGCGGCUGAUUAGCUAGUUGGUGAGGUAAUGGCUCACCAAGGCUAUGAUCAGUA
rnacentral:rRNA from 1 species